rnacentral:rRNA from 1 species
UACGUAGGUGGCGAGCGUUGUCCGGAAUUACUGGGUGUAAAGGGCGUGUAGGCGGGCAUGCAAGUCAGAUGUGAAAUUCCGGGGCUUAACCUCGGCGCUGCAUCUGAAACUGUAAUUCUUGAGUGCUGGAGAGGAUAGUGGUAUUCCUAGUGUAGCGGUGAAAUGCGUAGAUAUUAGGAGGAACACCAGUGGCGAAGGCGACUAUCUGGACAGUAACUGACGCUGAGGCGCGAAAGCGUGGGGAGCAAACAGG